AACGAACGUUGGCGGCGUGGAUGAGGCAUGCAAGUCGCGGGAAUCCCAGCAAUGGGGGAACCGGCGUAAGGGGCAGUAAGGCGUAGGUACCUACCGCGUGGUCCGGGAUAGCCCGCCGAGAGGCGGGGUAAUACCGGAUGACCUCGGGAGAGCAAAGCUCCGGCGCCAUGGGCGGGGCCUACGUGAUACUACCUAGUUGGCGGGGUAACGGCCCAGCAAGGGGGAGAUGUCUAGUGGGUGGGAGAGCACGACCCGCGCCACUCGCACUGAGACACUGGCGAGACACCUACGGGUGGCUGCAGUCGAUGAUCUUCGGCAAUGCGCGCAGGCGCGACCGAGCUACGCCGCGUGGGCGACGAAGGCCUUCGGGUUGUAAAGCCCUGUCGAGGGGGAGAAAGGGGAAACCCGGAUCCAUCCCUGGAGGAAGCUCGGGCUAAGUUCGUGCCAGCCGCCGCAGUAA
rnacentral:rRNA from 1 species